GCCUGGCUUCUUCGCCGACGUGUCCCCAGCGUGUCGCGCCAUGCCGUGCUGCUGCUAUGCCGCCGCUGCAGCGUGCCUCUUUGCGGCGGCCGCUCGCGACUGCCUUAUCGUCGUCGAGGUUGGAAUUGCUUUUUGCUCUUUGCGAUUUGCUGCGUUCCGCGUUGCGCCGGCCUCCAAUAUGCGGCACCUCCUCCGGGAGCCGGCGGCUUUCAGAUGAAGCGACUCACCGACGAUAGUGCCGGCUCCGGUAUCACGACGCAGCAGGCGCGGGCCGUUCAGCUGCCCCAAAACACGUCACUCCUCCAGCCCUCACAUGCCCCUCCCCUCUUGGCUGCCUUCCUUGCAGCGCACCGCUCCUCAGCCUCGUAUGCAGCGGCGCCGUCCAACCUUGCCGCCUCGGUGCCUCUGCUCCGACGGUUUGUCGUCUUUGCCGCCACCCGCCAUGCCCGAGCCACCUCUCCCUUGAUGGUAGAGCUUCCGGGAUCAACGUUCUCGCCUCGCACAUUUUCUGCUUCGUAUGGGCCCCUUGCGCCAGCCAAUAGCUGAUGUAGCAUCGCAGCUCACCAGCGGGGUUAUGCUGCAUUACAGAGGCAAAGCUUACUGCCAGGGAUGGCUCACCGGAGAAGGCGGGGCUACACUACGGCAGUGCAGCUCACGAACGGGGACAACACGUCUCACUGACGAGGCAUGCGAUGCAGCAGCUGUCAACAGUCCUGCACAGGUCCGCAGCUGCAUCCUCUCCAAUUCUAUCACCCGUUGCUUACAAGUGAGUGACUCGUCCUGUCAUCUAUGGGGGAUGCACACCAUGUGUUUGAUGAUUUGCUUAUGAGAUGUGGCCUUAUGCCAUGCCAUGGAGCCACACAAUGUGUUUGAUGGUUUGCCUCUGCAAUACUGGCCAAAUACGGAUGCUCAGGUUUCUGCAAAAAUAAGAAUGAAAUUGACUACAAAUGCGGCUGACAUAGACUCCUACUUGAUGAAGAGAAAUUCAGGCUACAUGCCUUGCCUAAGAAAUGAAGCGGAGGUAGAAGAGUUUGAGUGUGUUCAAGUUCAGAUGCUAUUUGAAUGCUUGAGACCAGCAACAAUCAUCAAACCAUAUAACCAUCUUUCCUUUGCCUUUUGGUGUAUGAUUAGAAAAGCUGGCCACAGAUGAAGAUGUUCUAAUGUGUACUUCUGGGAUGAUUGUUUGUUCCCCCAUAAACAACAGCAAGGGAAAGGAAAAGAAAACAGAGGAACAAAUAGCCUCAAUAUUUAGGCGUGAUUCAAAGCAAGAUACCAUACAAAGAUAUCAUUAGGCAGGAAUAACUUUUGUAGCUGUUCAGAAAUACCAGGUAGCUAUGAGACGCAUCACAAAGCAUAUCUUUUUUUUU